rnacentral:rRNA from 1 species
CCUACGGGGGGCAGCAGUGAGGAAUAUUGGUCAAUGGGCGCGAGCCUGAACCAGCCAAGUAGCGUGAAGGAUGACUGCCCUACGGGUUGUAAACUUCUUUUAUAAAGGAAUAAAGUGAUGCACGUGUGCCUUUUUGUAUGUACUUUAUGAAUAAGGAUCGGCUAACUCCGUGCCAGCAGCCGCGGUAAUACGGAGGAUCCGAGCGUUAUCCGGAUUUAUUGGGUUUAAAGGGAGCGCAGAUGGGUUGUUAAGUCAGUUGUGAAAGUUUGCGGCUCAACCGUAAAAUAGCAAUUGAAACUGGCAGUCUAGAGUACAGUUGAGGUAGGCGGAAUUCGUGGUGUAGCGGUGAAAUGCUUAGAUAUCACGAAGAACUCCGAUUGCGAAGGCAGCUUACUAAUCUGCCACUGACAUUGAUGCUCGAAAGUGUGGGUAUCAAACAGGAUUAGAUACCCCAGUAGUC